GGGGGAUAUUGCACAAUGGAGGAAACUCUGAUGCAGCAACGCCGCGUGAAGGAUGAAGGUCUUCGGAUUGUAAACUUUUGUACUUGGGGACGAUAAUGACGGUACCCAAGCAGCAAGCUCCGGCUAACUACGUGCCAGCAGCCGCGGUAAUACGUAGGGAGCAAGCGUUGUCCGGAUUUACUGGGUGUAAAGGGUGCGUAGGCGGCUAUGCAAGUCAGUUGUGAAAACUAUGGGCUCAACCCAUAGCCUGCAAUUGAAACUGCGUGGCUUGAGUGAAGUAGAGGUAGGUGGAAUUCCCGGUGUAGCGGUGAAAUGCGUAGAGAUCGGGAGGAACACCAGUGGCGAAGGCGACCUACUGGGCUUUAACUGACGCUGAGGCACGAAAGCAUGGGU
rnacentral:rRNA from 1 species